rnacentral:lncRNA from 1 species
AUGCCCAUUGGCUUUAUUUUAGGGAUUUCCCCAACAUUGUUUUAGGCAGCCAUAGGACAGACACAUUGAUAAAGCUGUGUUCCAGAAUGGGAAACCAACAGCCAAUCAACAAAGAAAAGCUGUGAUUAAAAAAACAUAAGCUAGUAACUACACGAGGGAAACAGCAGUUUGACCCAUUUGCAUACAGCAUCCAGAAGACCUCCUUUAGUAACGACUUGCUUGGGUGACACAUGCAGAAUGCAGAAGGGCAGGAUCUUGCAUGUAUUAAGGAUCUUGCUCUAAAUUUAUUAGCAGAUGUGGCUCUUGUCCUCUCUGAUGCAGGUCACAUCUGUGGUUCUGGCUUGGCAGGACCUGUGACUUCUUAGAGCAGAGUGGACAACUUUGGGUCUUGGGAGCAGAUGCUGAGCUGGGCUAAUGGUUGUUUGCUGUGCCUCUGUAAAUGUGAGGCUGGAGGGCCAGCUGUCCACCUUCUAGCUAGUUUCUAAACCAUUAAUGGAUUAAAACAGUGAUUACACCUGAGCCCUCGUGAUUUAAUCAUCUCUGGAAACACCCUGACAGACACACCUAGGGGAAAGCUUUAUUAAACCCUUCAGCUCUCCCCAAAGCAAUCAAGUUGACAACCACAAUUAACUAGCACACUAGCAGUACACCCAUGAGCAAGCUGCCUGUUCUCUUGGGUUCCAGUCUCUACGGCUGAAAAUAGAAAGGGGAAGGGUCUGAGAAACUUUUCUUAAUUGUUUGGAGAAGAGUGUAGACCAUUGGUAAUAUGGGGUGAUAGAAGGAGGCAAAAACCUUACUUCAGAUAAGUAUGAGGUGAGGACAGAAUUUAUUUGGUGUGUAUAAUUAUGAUAUAGCACAUAUGAGACAAUCUGUCUUUGCAAUUUUUAUUAAAAUACAAUUACAUAUUUUCUUUAUUCCAUUUCCUCCCAUGACUCCCCCCACCUCCCACCCCUUACUUCCCGAAGUUCCUACCCCUUUUUAUUGAAUAAUUGUGAUUUAUAUACAUAUAUAUGAAAAUAUAAAUACAUCUUUCUGAAUCUGUUUCUAAUUCAAACAUUUUGCAGCAUACUGUUUAGUCAUGUUCAAGCCACAUAGCCUUCUUAUGUGUGACACAUUUCUAGCCUUCCUUUCCCCUGGCAAUAUGGAGACUGUGUACUCAACCCAACAGGCCACACCCCCUAAUGGUGCCACUCCUUUGUGAUUAAGUAUUCAAGUUAUGAGUCUGUGGGAGCCGUUUUUAUUCAAACCACUACAGAUGGUUACUAUGAAUAAUGAUACUGUGAAUAUGGUGCACAUCUCUCUCAUGAAGAUGCUGCUUCCAGCGUUACUCUUAGGGACUUGUUCAGAAAUUCCACUUCUGGGUCACCUGGUGAUUCUGUUUUUAAGGUGUUUGUUUGUUUGUUUGCCUGUUUUUUUGUUUUGUUUUGUUUUUGAUAUAGGGUUUCUCUUGGUAGCCCUGGCUGUUCUGGAACGUGUUCUGUAGGCCGGGUUGGCUGUGAACUCACAUAAAUCCAUCUGCCUGUCCCUCUCCACGCCUGGUUGGCUUUGGUUUCUUUACAUCUUGGUUUGUUUGUUUCUAGAGAUAGUCUCCCACUAUGAAGCCCAAGCUGGCUUCGAACUUAUGAUUUUCCUGCCUCAGCCACCAAAUGGUGGGGCAAUGUUACCAGCAUAUGCCAUCAUGCCCUUGAUCACUUUUUAAAAAAUAUUCUUGCCAAUGCUUAUUGUUCUGUUUUUACUUUUACUUAUUUUAAUAGUUGUCAACCUAAUGGAUGUGAGGGAGUAUGAAUUUAAUUUUCCUUUUCUCUAUAAGUGGUAUUUUGGACAUUUUUAUGUGCCUUUUGACCAUUUGUAUCAAGAAUGUCUAUUAAAAAUCUUUGCCC